rnacentral:lncRNA from 1 species
GUUGCGCUGGAUGUGUGGACUGACUCGAGGGGAUAGAGUUCGGAAUGAGACUAUCCGGGAGAAGGUUGGUGUGACUUCAGUGGAGUGUAAGAUGCGGGAAGCACGAUUGAGAUGGUUCGGACACGUGAAGAGGAGGGGCAUGGAUGCCCCGGUCCGUAGGUGUGAGAGGCUAGCGUUGGAUGGUUUUAGGCGGGGCAGGGGUAGGCCGAAGAAGUACUGGGGUGAGGUGAUUAGGCGGGACAUGGAAAAGUUACAGCUCACCGAGGACAUGACCCUAGAUAGGAAGGUCUGGAAGACGCGAAUUACGGCAGAAGAGUAGGGCCAGAUUGGGUCGCUAGUGUAGGGAUUACUUGGUGGGGGUUUUAUUCCUGUUAUGAUUCCGUGUUCCGUGUUCCAUAUUUUAUUACGAAUCUGUGUGCUUUCCUCUGCUUUCCUCUGUUUUAUAUUCCUUAUGGGUGCCGUAUUUAUGUUAUGUCAUCUGCUUCUAUGCUUUACUAUGUGUUUGUGUGAUAUCUUAUGCCUUGAGCCGGGGGUCUUUCGGAAACAGCCUUUCUACUUCAUCAGAGGUAGAGGUAUGGACUGCGUACAUCUUACCCCCCCAGACCCCACUAAGUGGG